rnacentral:tRNA from 1 species
AAUAAAGUGCCUGAAAAAAAGGAUUAUUUUGAUAGAAUAAAUCAUGUUUUAAAACCUUUAUUU